UACGUAGGUGGCAAGCGUUGUCCGGAUUUACUGGGCGUAAAGAGCGCGCAGGCGGUCGGAUAAGUCGAAUGUGAAAGCUCCCGGCUUAACUGGGAGAGGUCAACGGAAACUGCUAGGCUAGAGUGCGGUAGAGGUAGCUGGAAUUCCCGGUGUAGCGGUGAAAUGCGUAGAUAUCGGGAGGAAUACCUAUGGCGAAAGCAGGCUACUGGACCGUCACUGACUCUGAUCUGCGAAAGCUAGGGGAGCAAACAGG
rnacentral:rRNA from 1 species